GUGUCAGCCGCCGCGGUAAUACCGGCAGCUCAAGUGAUGACCGAUUUUAUUGGGCCUAAAGCGUCCGUAGCUGGCCGCGCAAGUCUGUCGGGAAAUCCACCCGCUUAACGGGUGGGCGUCCGGCGGAAACUGUGUGGCUUGGGACCGGAAGGCGCGACGGGUACGUCCGGGGUAGGAGUGAAAUCCUGUAAUCCUGGACGGACCGCCGAUGGCGAAAGCACGUCGCGAGGACGGAUCCGACAGUGAGGGACGAAAGCCAGGGUCUCGAACCGG
rnacentral:rRNA from 1 species